ensembl:snRNA U6 U6 spliceosomal RNA
GCUCCCUUCGGCAGCCUACAUAUAAAAUUGGGACAAUACAGAGAUGAUUAGCAAGGUCCUUGUGCGAGGCUGACACACAAAUUUGUGAAACGUUCCAGAUUUUU